UGGUAACCUGGAGAGACACUUGAGGGAAGA
rnacentral:piRNA from 1 species